UCGUAAGGGUUGUCCCGGACAAGCGUUAAUGUCGAGCCAUGCUGUACAUGAUUCAAUGUGCCUUUAAUUCUAAAACAAAGACAUUCGAGUCAAGGCACAGAAGCCAGAAUUACAGGAAUGACACACCAAUGAUUGUUUGGACAUGAUGUUUUAAUUUGGUUAUAAUAAGCAACAUUUUAAUGCAUGUUUUUGUUUACAGCUUAAACGUAUGGAGACAGAGGAGACGCGGUUGAAAAAUGAAAUUCAGGACGCAAAAGACCAAAACGAACUCCUGGAGUUCCGAAUUCUUGAACUUGAAGAAAGAGAGAGGAGAUCUCCAGCCAUAAACUUCCAGAAUAUUCAUUUUACCGACGGCAUGAGUCCCUUACAGAUCUACUGUGAGACGGAGGGAGUCUCUGACAUCGUGAUCUCGGAGCUGAUGAAGAAGCUUGAUAUUCUGGGGGAUAACGCCGUAAGUAAUCUGACCAAUGAGGAGCAGGUGGUGGUUAUUCAUGCCAGAACGGUACUAACCUUAGCAGAAAAGUGGCUAGAGCAAAUUGAGGUCACCAAAUCAGGAUUACAGCAGAAAAUGUUGGACAUUGAAAGCGAAAAGGAGCUCUUUUGCAAACAGAGGGGAUAUUUAGAUGAGGAAUUAGACUACAGAAAACAGUCUCUGGAUCAGGCGCAUAAGUGUAUUCUUGAGUUGGAGGCGAUGCUGUUCGACACUUUGCAGCGAGAGGAGGCGGGCGGGAAGAUGUCCGAGCUGCUCAGCGAGCAGCGCCGUGAUUCGCUGAGGGAAGCUGUCUCUCAAUGGAAGAGGCAGGUCCUCAGCGAAUUACGAGAGAGAGAUGCGCAGAUACUCAGAGAAAGGAUGGAGCUCCUGCAACAUGCUCAAGUGAGGAUUAAAGAGCUGGAGGAGUGGAUAGAAACACAGAAACGACAGAUUAAAGAAUUGGAAGAGAAGUUUUUAUUUUUAUUUUUGUUCUUUUCUUUAGCUUUCAUUCUUUGGUCGUAGCUCUUCCAACAAGCAGGAAGUGAUGUCACGUGGCGCUGUGGAUCGCGGUAAUGCAUGCCAACUUCAAGUUCAUUUUAUUAAGUAGGCUUAAGCAAAGUUCAAAUCAUGGACCGCAAGUGUUCCGUCUUCUGUAGCAGAGAAGCGGUCGCAUUUGUUCCAUCACGGGUCCAGCGAUCAAGCUUGUGCUUUUGUAAGACUUUAAACUGUUCCUGUCAAAUCUACACUGGCCACCUGUUGAUCUACUGCUAAUGGAAUAUGGUGCUCUCUAUCUUGUGGACUAAAACUGUUUUUAUCCUUCUGACCUUUUCGAAUUUGCUCUGUGUGACCUCUUGCGUGAGGAAUUUAAGGACUCUUAAAUUGAAACGCUCUCCUUUCCCUGCUAAGCAGGCGGUGCUGGAGGCUGCUUCCCUUUGGAAGCCUAAUGGAACGAGAGGUGUUACGUGGAAACCCUUCCCCCUCAACUGUUUACACGCACUGUGCUUUGGUUCCUGGUGGUACGUCUGGCAUCGGCGUGGUGGCGCUAACCUCCCUGUGCGUUGUGAGAAAUGUGACCGAAAAGUAAAUCUUGGAAUUCAAAUGUUUUAUUUUGUAUUGUAAAGGAACGGUAUUUCAAAAUAAAUUUCUCAGAGGAUUAUGGAAAAGAAUAUGAA